AGAGUUUGAUCCUGGCUCAGAGCGAACGCUGGCGGCAGGCUUAACACAUGCAAGUCGAGCGGGCGUAGCAAUACGUCAGCGGCAGACGGGUGAGUAACGCGUGGGAACAUACCUUUUGGUUCGGAACAACACAGGGAAACUUGUGCUAAUACCUGAUAAGCCCUUACGGGGAACGAUUUAUCGCCGAAAGAUUGGCCCGCGUCUGAUUAGCUAGUUGGUGAGGUAACGGCUCACCAAGGCGACGAUCAGUAGCUGGUCUGAGAGGAUGAUCAGCCACAUUGGGACUGAGACACGGCCCAAACUCCUACGGGAGGCAGCAGUGGGGAAUAUUGGACAAUGGGCGCAAGCCUGAUCCAUCCAUGCCGCGUGAGUGAUGAAGGCCCUAGGGUUGUAAAGCUCUUUUGUGCGGGAAGAUAAUGACGGUACCGCAAGAAUAAGCCCCGGCUAACUUCGUGCCAGCAGCCGCGGUAAUACGAAGGGGGCUAGCGUUGCUCGGAAUCACUGGGCGUAAAGGGUGCGUAGGCGGGUCUUUAAGUCAGGGGUGAAAUCCUGGAGCUCAACUCCAGAACUGCCUUUGAUACUGAGGAUCUUGAGUUCGGGAGAGGUGAGUGGAACUGCGAGUGUAGAGGUGAAAUUCGUAGAUAUUCGCAAGAACACCAGUGGCGAAGGCGGCUCACUGGCCCGAUACUGACGCUGAGGCACGAAAGCGUGGGGAGCAAACAGGAUUAGAUACCCCCGUAGUCC
rnacentral:rRNA from 1 species